rnacentral:lncRNA from 13 species
GUGUGUGUGUGUGUGUGUGUGUGUGUGUGUGUGUGUGUGUGUGUGUGUGUGUGUGUGUGUGCGAAAUAAGGGUUUCAUGCUGUAAUGUGGCGGGGAGGAGAUAUGGAUAAAUGAGAGGAUGGAGAGAUGGAGCGAUGAAGGGGUGAGGUGUGGAUCCUGAGGACAGCCUGCCAAAAGUGUGACUCUUGUUAAAUUAAUCAGGACUGAGUCUGCUCACUAAUCUCAUCUGGCCUGGGAAGAAAUACUUCCUGUUAACAUGAUUUAUGUUUACUCCCUCCCUCCCUCCCUCGCUCCUUCUCUUCUCUCUCUCCCUACUCUCUCAAAAACAAUCUGAAAGUUCAGUCAAAAUGUGUUCUAAUCCCCUAUUAAAUCUAAAGAUGCUGUUCAGCCUUUACUGCUGUCUAAACUCAGACCAGUCGUUACUGCUGUCUAAACUCAGUCCAGUCUUUACUGCUGUCUAAACUCAGACCAGUCUUUACUGAUGUCUAAACUCAGUCCAGUCUUUACUGCUGUCUAAAUUCAGACCAGUCUUUACUGCUGUCUAAACUCAGUCCAUUCUUUACUGCUGUCUAAACAGACCAGCCUUUACUGCUGUCUAAACUCAGACCAGCCUUUACUGCUGUCUAAACUCAGUCCAGUCUUUACUGCUGUCCAGUGCUUAAUAUGGAAAUCAGGAGGUUCCGGAACAAAAAGUGAGCGCGACAUGGGGAGUUUUGAGGUACUGGAACGAAAAAAAACAUAUUAAUAAAGCAUUGCAUGUAUAUCAUUGCAUUUGAGUAGUGGCAUAGAGCAGUAGAGUACACUGUAAACAACAGUUUUCAAAACAGUUCUUAUUAAACAGAACAAAAGCAGCAGCAAUGAUUCUCAAAUUGUUAAUUGACAAAUUGCAAUCAACAUUGUAGGUACUUCCUGAUUGCUGCAGAUAGGCAAAACCGUAGAAUUAGGAACUAGAACACUAACACUAGCAAUAACAAGAUCUCUGUGGGCAGAACCGUAGAAUUAGGAACUAGAACACUAACACUAGCAAUAACAGGAUCUCUGUGGGCAGAACCGUAGAAUUAGGAACUAGAACACUAACACUAGCAAUAACAGGAUCUCUGUGGGCAGAACCGUAGAAUUAGGAACUAGAACACUAACACUAGCAAUAACAGGGUCUCUGUGGGAAGAACCAUCUGCUUAGAAAAUAUAGAAUGGAGCUUCAACUCCAUAGACUUCAUAAGGACCUAAAUAUUCCCAUAGUAACCAUGGAUACCUACAAAAAUGGGGGAUCAUGGAGACUCAAAUAGCUUGUGUUUGCACUGUGGGGUAUUUUUCAAACUAAAAUGUUGACUACAAGGCAAAAAAAAAAGAAAAAAAAAAGAGAUGACAACCCCAAUAAUCAUGUAAUCUCAAUAUUUCUAGUAGUUUCUCCCUGUAUAAUUUAUCUGUUUGUAAACACUGUGGAUGGAUGCCACCUAUAUUACUUUUGUAAUGUUUUUUAAAAGCCAUAAAUUGUCUAGUUUCGAGGCUUUUUUCAAAAGUUCCCAUAAAAGCUCCCAGUAUAAAUCUGUUCAAAAAAGUCUACAAGGCUUUGCUGGACUAUCAGUGAUCCAGGUAGCAUUGUGAUGCCAUAACCAUACAGUGUAGACAGACCCUGGUCCAAUUUUCAAAAUACCUGUGGUAAAAUGUUGGUGCCUUGAUGAAACGGAUUCAAAUCGCAGUAUUUCAAACAUCAACAGUACAGGAACAAAUUUGACACUAAAUUUUACAAUGAUAUCCUUAAUUAACAACACCUACUUUGUAUACAAAGCACAAUUUAAAAGCCGUGGCAGUGAACCUUUAAAUCACACCUUGAAGAAUAAAUGUGUCUUCCUUAACCUCUAACUUAUUUAGCUUAGAUCAUUGUCAUGGGGCUGAUCGGGGAUGGGGUCCCAGACCGCAAUGUGCUCGAGGCCUGCCUCUCGGUGACCAUCCCCCGGUAGGCAGAGGCUGGACCCAGCACAGAUUCUGUGCCCCAGGCGGCUUCAACAACAACAAGAGGCAGGCCUGUGGCAGAGGACACCAUUCCUGAACUGCUACCAGAACAAAUGAAGGGAGAGAAGAGUUAGAGGCUCCUCAGUGUUUAACUAUGAAGAUGAUACAAAGUAAAAGUCAUUCUGAUUAAGACAGCACAUUGUUCUUGAGGACUGUCAUCUUGACUGUGAGCUUUGAGCAGUCCCAGUUUCUGGAAUGUCUUGAGCUUUUUGGAGUAGCUGAGAUUCAGAGCAUAAUGUCAUGCCAAGAAGGAUGACACAAGCCUGUUUGACACUGCCCAGACCGAUGAUCACCAGGACACCCUCUAGGACGAUGCCCAUCUCCUCUGGACCAUCACUCGCCAUGGCACCCUCCUUCUUGAUCACAUAGAUAUUCAUUACAUGUUGUGCAAGGUCCUGCAGGACAUCACCCCCUUCAGCCUCCUGUAAAAAAAUAAAAAUAACACAAAAAUACAGACACGUUCUUUCAAUGUUGGGAUCAAAUUUUACAUUAAAAUGGAAACAAAACUGGAUUACGAGAUGCCCUUCUUUUAAUCAUAAUGCAGUGAACAGUCUCUCUCUUACACACACACACACACACACACACACACACACACACACACACACACACACACACACACACACACACACACACACACAC